rnacentral:rRNA from 1 species
AGUGAACGCUGGCGGUAGGCCUAACACAUGCAAGUCGAACGGCAGCACAGUAAGAGCUUGCUCUUACGGGUGGCGAGUGGCGGACGGGUGAGGAAUACAUCGGAAUCUACUUUUUCGUGGGGGAUAACGUAGGGAAACUUACGCUAAUACCGCAUACGACCUACGGGUGAAAGCAGGGGAUCUUCGGACCUUGCGCGAUUGAAUGAGCCGAUGUCGGAUUAGCUAGUUGGCGGGGUAAAGGCCCACCAAGGCGACGAUCCGUAGCUGGCCUGAGAGGAUGAUCAGCCACACUGGAACUGAGACACGGUCCAGACUCCUACGGGAGGCAGCAGUGGGGAAUAUUGGACAAUGGGCGCAAGCCUGAUCCAGCCAUACCGCGUGGGUGAAGAAGGCCUUCGGGUUGUAAAGCCCUUUUGUUGGGAAAGAAAAGCAGCAGAUUAAUACCCCGCUGUUCUGACGGUACCCAAAGAAUAAGCACCGGCUAACUUCGUG